UGGCUAGACUUCAGUUGCGCUCUGCCAUUCGAGCUGCUAUUACGUUGGAAUAUCUAAUAUUCGUUUCGCAAAAUCUAAAAACACACGAAAAUUCCGAUAAAAACUUUAGUUAUCCUAAAAAAAGUAAACAAAAUUUAUUAUCUAAAAUUUUAUAGUUUAUUUCCAUAAUUAAUUGUUUUGGACAUUAAUACAAAAAAAUAUGAUGAACAAUAAUUAUAUAGAAACAAAAAGUUAAAAUAAAUUUAAUGACAGUUGUUAUUAUAAGAAAUGACACAUUGACAAAAUGAAGAUGCAAAUUUUGGUUAAGCCAUCGAUUGUUCCAUUGAAAACAGGCUGAGAAAAUACUUUACUUCAUAGUGUUAAUACACUUGGGUAAUCUUUAGUGAGAGUGCGGCAUGGAUACAUUUUACACUCAGGCAAUUCACGCUUUUCGUAAACACCGUGCUGUAGUAAAUGUAAUGUCAUCGGGAAUCGCAGCAACUCUAGAUGAAAAUGGUGUUCUCAGUCUUAUUGUCAUUCUUGGAGGAAGUAUUUCUCUCGUGGCACUUGUAUUCGCUUUUAUCACCUACAGCUUGUUUUCAGAUUUACGAAGUUUAGCGGGGACAACGCUUAUGAAUUUGUUGGCCUCACUUUUUAUGGUCCAACUUCUUUUCAUCAUUGGUGUCGGUGGAGUUCAGGACUCAGAAUUAUGCAUUGCUCUUGGAUUGAGCCUUCAAUACUUAAGAAUUUCAGUAGUUUGUUGGGUAGCUGCUAUGUGUCAUCAUCUUCAUGCAACUGUAUCAUCUGUUCCUGGGUGUGAUGAUCGACCAGUUUAUCUCAAGUAUAGUAUAUUCGCUUGGGGUGCACCAUUACUAACUCUUGGAGCAUCAAUAGUUGCCCAAACUUAUGAAACGAACGAUUUUUGGAACGUCACGGAUUUAACACCCUUUAAUUGUUGGUUUUUAGGUACUACGGCCACGGUCUACACUUACAGUAUACCAAUCAUGCUACUUAUUUUAAUCUCCAUGUACUAUCUUUUGAAUGCUGCUAUUAUAGCGAGAUAUACAUACAGUAUGCACCUAGAAAUAAAGCAGCGUGAAAAGAUGAAAAAACGACAAACUAUUCAACUAAUACUUUUCACGAAGAUUUGCUUAACAGUUUGCUUCAUUGCUGGCUGUGGAGUUGUAGCGAGAGUAUGGAAAAUACCUCUGCUGUGGGCUAUUUUUUGUACGGGACACUCACUCCAGGGUCUCAUCGUGGCAAUUUCUGUUGCUUGCAAUUGUAAAAUAUUAAAAGUCUACGCCAGAAAGCCAAUGCCGUGCAAACAACAGAUUGCGAAAUCAUCAAGUAUGCAACUGUUGGCUGCACAUCCUGAUCCAGUGUAAAAUAACACUUCUAUCAAGAAUAAAAAUUUAUUUUUAACCUACUUGACCAAAAUUGACAGCGCAAAUUUUAUGUGCUAUUUAUCAUCAUUGCUUUAAAUUGUCUAAAAAAUACUAAAAAAUAUUUUUACACAAUCGUAUUAUUUUUUUUUUUUCACCUACUUAAUCUUUAAUCUAAGCAUUAAUCCUUUAAUCAAAUCAUAAAAACAAAGUAAUCAAACUUUAUUAUAAUUCUACAAGUAACUUUAGAAAUUUAGUAUAAAACGAUUGUAAAUAAAGUAUAGACAAAGUGUGAUAAGUGUAAACUUAUAAAUAUAUUAUAAUGGUCUUUACCUUGAGUAUUUUGGAAUUUCAAUACUUCUACUUCCCUCAGUAGUUCGAAAUCUAAAAAAAUAAAACUCUUUAAUAAUAUUGGCUCUCGAUAUAGGCUCAAGAUAAAAAAGAAUCCGGUUAAAACCGACUUAUUAAAAAAUUACAGUAUCAAUCAACAAAUUCAGAAAUGAUUUUUGAUUAAUAUAUAUUACACACCUAGGGAAGUAAAGUAAGAAAUGUCUCAGAUCACA